rnacentral:lncRNA from 1 species
AAUGCCUUAAAGAAAGGACUGAUCUCCCCUGAAGAAGAGAGAAUUCUGCCUCUAGAUUGCUUACAAUUUGAACUGGAACAUCAGCUGUUCUCUAGGUCUUAAGUCUGCUGCUCUAACCUACAAAUUUUGGACAUGCCAAUCUCCACAGUCACAUGGGCCAAUUCCUUAGUUUCUCUGGAGAAUCCUGACUAAUGUAUGCAAUGUCUUUAUUUCAUCCUCAUUCUUAAAGGAUAUUUUCAUCAGCAACACCACACCCUCCUGAUCACCAUAGCUUUAUGGUAAGACACCCCUACUCUGUCCAGACCCAACUGUCAACAGAAGCCAAAGCCAUCUGGAGGAGCAUGCAACAACAAGAAACAAAUUUAUUAGCUAACCUAACCACUAAUGACGCAAGAGACAAUUCUAAGGACUUUCAAAACAGCAAAGUAGGAGCAGCUGCUACCUCUAGGGAUGAGGGAUGCAAUUGUCCAAUUAUUGGUGAAAUUGUCAUUUCAUGCUAUUGGCUAUUUGAAAUUCCUCCUCUAAUUUCAGAAUAAAUCACUGAAAUUGACAUCGGCCAGUCUGAAUUUCAAGAAAUUACCUGCUGAAGACAAGAGGGAUCUCUUCUUCAGAUUUGCAGUCUGGGGAAGACACAGCCUCUACUGUACUUUAGAACCUGAGAUAUGGUGGUGGAGGGAGCCCUGGGUCGAGUGGUCAGAGCUCCGGACUCCAGCCCCAUGCAACUUCAAAAUAUGACAAAUGUCUUGAAGGGGAGAUUGGCAUGCAGAUGAGGAAGGCCCUCUCGCCAACACAUUUGUAUUUCCUCUGUACUGUGAGACUGUGGGAGAUUUACUGCGACAUUUAGAAGCUUUCUUCCAAACUCCUGGGCCUCCGACACUGGUUCUAAACUCAGCAAAUGUUCUUUGGGAAAAACAGACAGUGCAUGUGAGGCCCCUCGAGUUUGGAAUUUAUGUCUCCAGCUUCACAUGGUCUCUCAAGUGCUUAUGCUUUUCUUCUCUCUGCCACCCACAUUCCCACAUCCCGCCCACCCCCCAACUUUCCUCCCUUCACCUUCCCAUGGAGACUUUUUGCCUGGGCUAAAUCUGAUCCUCAGCCCACUCUCAGAAUCGAUAAAUGCCCCUAGGUGAUUGUAAGCUCACCUAAGAUAUACUUUUUCUCCUCUAGAAUUUUAGUUUAUUAGAUUUUUCUAGUUGUCUUUGCAAAAGCGUUAACAGGCUCUGACUUCUGACAUUCAACUAGAUGUGGAAUAUCCAACCCCUAGCAUUUCAUGGAAUGUACUGACCAAGAUAAAAUGUGUUCUUAUUAAACAAUGCCAUUUCUUGACCACUUCUGUUUUUAGGAAUUGUGGUAUCUGAGUCAUGGUGAUUAGAAGUACUAAUGAAAUAAAUGGGAAAAUUAAACUUCUACUAACAUUUCAUAUAGUAGGGAGAUGUCUGUGAAGAAUUAUAACUGGUACAGAUUUUGUGUUUAUAAACAAGGAGACAGAAAAUGCAGAAAAUAAAAAAUAUUUUAUUUAGU